CCUACGGGGUGCAGCAGUGGGGAAUAUUGCACAAUGGGGGGAACCCUGAUGCAGCGACGCCGCGUGGGUGAGGAAGUACUUCGGUAUGUAAAGCUCUAUCAGCAGGGAAGAAAAUGACGGUAUCUGACUAAGAAGCCCCGGCUAACUACGUGCCAGCAGCCGCGGUAAUACGUAGGGGGCAAGCGUUAUCCGGAUUUACUGGGUGUAAAGGGAGCGUAGGCGGGUUGCCAAGUCUGAUGUGAAAGGCCGGGGCUCAACCCCGGGACUGCAUUGGAAACUGGCAUGCUGGAGUGCAGGAGAGGCAAGCGGAAUUCCUGGUGUAGCGGUGAAAUGCGUAGAUAUUAGGAGGAACACCGGUGGCGAAGGCGGCUUGCUGGACGGUAACUGACGUUGAGGCUCGAAAGCGUGGGGAGCAAACAGGAUUAGAUACCCGAGUAGUC
rnacentral:rRNA from 1 species